rnacentral:rRNA from 1 species
AGUCGAGGGGUAUUUAUCUUCGGAUAGAGAGACCGGCGCACGGGUGCGUAACGCGUAUGCAAUCUACCUUUUACAGAGGGAUAGCCCAGAGAAAUUUGGAUUAAUACCUCAUAGUAUAUAGACUCGGCAUCGAGAUUAUAUUAAAGUCACAACGGUAAAAGAUGAGCAUGCGUCCCAUUAGCUAGUUGGUAAGGUAACGGCUUACCAAGGCUACGAUGGGUAGGGGUCCUGAGAGGGAGAUCCCCCACACUGGUACUGAGACACGGACCAGACUCCUACGGGAGGCAGCAGUGAGGAAUAUUGGACAAUGGGCGCAAGCCUGAUCCAGCCAUGCCGCGUGCAGGAUGACGGUCCUAUGGAUUGUAAACUGCUUUUAUACGAGAAGAAACACUACUUCGUGAAGUAGCUUGACGGUAUCGUAAGAAUAAGGAUCGGCUAACUCCGUGCCAGCAGCCGCGGUAAUACGGAGGAUCCAAGCGUUAUCCGGAAUCAUUGGGUUUAAAGGGUCCGUAGGCGGUUUAAUAAGUCAGUGGUGAAAGCCCAUCGCUCAACGGUGGAACGGCCAUUGAUACUGUUAGACUUGAAUUAUUAGGAAGUAACUAGAAUAUGUAGUGUAGCGGUGAAAUGCUUAGAGAUUACAUGGAAUACCAAUUGCGAAGGCAGGUUACUACUAAUUGAUUGACGCUGAUGG